rnacentral:rRNA from 1 species
UACGUAGGGUGCGAGCGUUGUCCGGAAUUAUUGGGCGUAAAGAGCUCGUAGGCGGUCUGUCGCGUCGGUCGUGAAAACUUGGGGCUUAACCCCGAGCUUGCGGUCGAUACGGGCAUGACUGGAGUUCGGCAGGGGAGACUGGAAUUCCUGGUGUAGCGGUGAAAUGCGCAGAUAUCAGGAGGAACACCGGUGGCGAAGGCGGGUCUCUGGGCCGAUACUGACGCUGAGGAGCGAAAGCGUGGGUAGCAAACAGG